rnacentral:rRNA from 1 species
GACGAACGCUGGCGGCGUGCUUAACACAUGCAAGUCGAACGGUGAAGCGCCUUCCUUUUUGGUGGGUGUGGAUGAGUGGCGAACGGGUGAGUAACACGUGAGUAACCUGCCCCCUUCUUCUGGAUAACCGCAUGAAAGUGUGGCUAAUACGGGAUAUUCUGGGUCUGUCGCAUGAUGGGUCUGGGAAAGAUAUUGUUUCGGUGGGGGAUGGGCUCGCGGCCUAUCAGCUUGUUGGUGGGGUGAUGGCCUACCAAGGCGGUGACGGGUAGCCGGCCUGAGAGGGUGGACGGUCACACUGGGACUGAGACACGGCACAGACUCCUACGGGAGGCAGCAGGGGGGAAUAUUGCACAAUGGGCGCAAGCCUGAUGCAGCGACGCCGCGUGAGGGAUGGAGGCCUGCGGGUUGUGAACCUCUUUCGCCAGUGAAGCAGGCCUGCCUCGUUUGUGGGUGGGUUGACGGUAGCUGGAUAAGAAGCGCCGGCUAACUACGUG